UACGUAGGGAGCAAGCGUUGUUCGGAUUUACUGGGCGUAAAGGGCGCGUAGGCGGCAAAUUAAGUCAGCUGUGAAAUCUCCGAGCUAACUCGGAACUGUCAGCUGAUACUGAUCUGCUAGAGUGCGGAAGGGCAUCGGAAUUCUUGGUGUAGCGGUGAAAUGACGUAGAUAUCAAGAGGAACACCUGAGGUGAAGACGGGUUGCUGGGCCGACACUGACGCUGAGUGCGCGAAAGCCAGGGAGGCAAACGGG
rnacentral:rRNA from 1 species